rnacentral:misc_RNA from 1 species
UAAUAAGUGUUUUAUGGCACUCUUUAAAUCCAUAUCCACCUUGUGUGCAAUGUCAGUCGAUCUUCUUCAUGGAGAUCGACCAAACAUCAACCUUAUCUUUUAACUCUUUGUCUGAAAAAUAUUAUGAAUAAACAAUUCAAAAUA